rnacentral:rRNA from 1 species
UACGUAGGGUGCAAGCGUUGUCUGGAAUUAUUGGGCGUAAAGAGCUCGUAGGCGGUUUGUCGCGUCGAAUGUGAAAACCCGGGGCUCAACCCCGGGCCUGCAUUCGAUACGGGCAGACUAGAGUUCGGUAGGGGAGACUGGAAUUCCUGGUGUAGCGGUGAAAUGCGCAGAUAUCAGGAGGAACACCGGUGGCGAAGGCAGCCCCCCUGGGUCGACACUGACGCUCAGGCACGAAAGCGUGGGGAGCAAACAGG